rfam:Gossypium hirsutum cultivar TM-1 chromosome 14, whole genome shotgun sequence
GGGUGUGAUCAUAUUAGCACUAAUGCACCGGAUCCCGUUGGAACUCUACAGUUAAGCGUGCUUGGGCAAGAGUAGUACUAGGAUGGGUGACCUCCUGGGAAGUCCUCGUGUUGCACCCC